rnacentral:rRNA from 1 species
AUUGAACGCUGGCGGCAGGCUUAACACAUGCAAGUCGAGCGGAGAGAGGUAGCUUGCUACUGAUCUUAGCGGCGGACGGGUGAGUAAUGCUUAGGAAUCUGCCUAUUAGUGGGGGACAACAUUUCGAAAGGAAUGCUAAUACCGCAUACGUCCUACGGGAGACAGCAGGGGAUCUUCGGACCUUGCGCUAAUAGAUGAGCCUAAGUCGGAGUAGCUAGUUGGUGGGGUAAAGGCCUACCAAGGCGACGAUCUGUAGCGGGUCUGAGAGGAUGGUCCGCCACACUGGGACUGAGACACGGCCCAGAGUCCUACGGGAGGCAGCAGUGGGAAAUAUUGGACAAUGGGCGCAAGCCUGAGCCAGCCAUGCCGCGUGUGUGAAGAAGGCCUUAUGGUUGUAAAGCACUUUAAGCGAGGAGGAGGCUACUUUAGUUAAUACCUAGAGAUAGUGGACGUUACUCGCAGAAUAAGCACCGGCUAACUCUGUGCCAGCAGCCGCCGUAA